rnacentral:miRNA from 1 species
CGGGCGAGGUGGUGUGCG